rnacentral:rRNA from 1 species
UACGUAGGCAGCGAGCGUUGUUCGGAGUUACUGGGCGUAAAGGGUGUGUAGGCGGUUCUUUAAGUUUGGUGUGAAAUCUCCCGGCUCAACCGGGAGGGUGCGCCGAAUACUGAGGGACUAGAGUAUGGGGUGGGAAAGUGGAAUUCCUGGUGUAGCGGUGAAAUGCGUAGAUAUCAGGAGGAACACCUGUGGUGUAGACGGCUUUCUGGACCAUAACUGACGCUGAGACACGAAAGCGUGGGUAGCAAACAGG